UAUGGUAGAAAAAGUGUUGAGAAACACUGCCUUAAAAUGACAUAGCAGGCAAUCAGUAUUAUAAUUUAUUGAAAUUUAUCUUAGAUCUACAUUUAUUUUAAAGCAGUGCACACUAAACUUUUUCUACCCUAACUUAUGACCAGUUCUUAAUUAGGAGGGGAAAAAAAUCCUCUUGCUUUAGAUUUAUGGCUGCAUAGAGCCUAAUAAAGUGUGUGAAAUAAAGUCAGAGUGGUUUUUACUUAAAAAUUUACAUCUUGCAAAAUGUAAGAGCACCUACGUGAAAAUUAAUAGAAAGACUCUUAAGAUGGCUGAUUUACUGUAACUUUGCUUUUAUUUUUUUACCGGGACAAUGGGAAAUGUCAAUUUGUAGUUGAUGGGAAGGAAAAAGGAAAACUUUUAGUUGUGAAAGUGGUAAAUUAAAACAAUAGAUUUGUGCAGUAUUUUUGAAUAUCAUACAGGAAAUAUAUUAUUUUGACAAUGUGUGGUUUAGGGAAAAGUUUGCCAUUGUUCAAUGUUUUAAUCCGUGCUAACAAAGAUGCAUAUUUUUGUAGAGAAUAUAAUAUGUAUGCUAUUCUCCGAACAAAAGCUUCUCUAUAUUGUAGAAAUUAACUAUCAAUAUUUAUCGGAACUUCAAAAGCUUCUAAGCCAAACAGGUUAGGAACAGCAACACUGCAAGCAGUGUGGACAAACUAAUUAUAGAUGGCACAACUAUAUUUUCAGUUUAAUUGAUCUCCAAAGGCACAAUCCAGUCUGUCACAAGAGCUUUGGGUCCAUGGGAAAUGAUUCAGCACAGGCCCCACAAAACCUCCACGUGAUUUCUUACCUUCAUUUCCAGGCACAUAAAGAUAUUUGCACAGAAUCCAAUUAAGACAGUUAAACAAGCAUGAAUUCUUCCCCCUCACACCUUCCUCUUUUCUCUGCUUCAGCUAAUAAAGGAAUAGGAAUGUGGUGGUGAUUUAUUACUGCUUGUGCUAGCGUAUCCUCGGUUAACUGGUUUUUUUCUAAGAGUAAUGGGAGUUGGCUUAAUCUU